CAGAUAUUUACCUGUCUUCUCCUGCUCCUUGUUGCUGGUAUCUUCUCACUGCCCACACAGCUAGAUGACGACUCUAAGGCUGUAGAUAUCAGCUCCUCAGGAACUAAUGCUAAUCGCACGAGUGACGACCUUGCCUCGUUUUGCGUAUAUAGCUAUUCCUACAGGAUCAUAGGUAUACGCUUCAGCAGAGCCAACAAACGAAGAAUCGACAACGCUUUGGAUGCGUUCUUCACAAGACUGUGUGCACUGUAAAACAGUCAUCGAUCAAGCCAGCGAAACUUAUUUUGUGCUAGUAAC